AGAGUUUGAUCCUGGCUCAGGGUGAACGCUAGCUACAGGCUUAACACAUGCAAGUCGAGGGGCAGCAUGGUCUUAGCUUGCUAAGGCCGAUGGCGACCGGCGCACGGGUGAGUAACACGUAUCCAACCUGCCGUCUACUCUUGGACAGCCUUCUGAAAGGAAGGUUAAUACAAGAUGGCAUCAUGAGUCCGCGUGUUCACAUGAUUAAAGGUAUUCCGGUAGACGAUGGGGAUGCGUUCCAUUAGAUAGUAGGCGGGGUAACGGCCCACCUAGUCUUCGAUGGAUAGGGGUUCUGAGAGGAAGGUCCCCCACAUUGGAACUGAGACACGGUCCAAACUCCUACGGGAGGCAGCA
rnacentral:rRNA from 1 species